rnacentral:rRNA from 1 species
GAUGAACGCUGGCGGCGUGCUUAACACAUGCAAGUCGAACGGUGAAGGCGGAGCUUGCUCUGCUGGAUCAGUGGCGAACGGGUGAGUAACACGUGAGCAAUCUGCCCCUGACUCUGGGAUAAGCGCUGGAAACGGCGUCUAAUACUGGAUACGAGCUGCGAAGGCAUCUUCAGCAGCUGGAAAGAAUUUCGGUCAGGGAUGAGCUCGCGGCCUAUCAGCUUGUUGGUGAGGUAAUGGCUCACCAAGGCGUCGACGGGUAGCCGGCCUGAGAGGGUGACCGGCCACACUGGGACUGAGACACGGCCCAGACUCCUACGGGAGGCAGCAGUGGGGAAUAUUGCACAAUGGGCGAAAGCCUGAUGCAGCAACGCCGCGUGAGGGACGGCGGCCUUCGGGUUGUAAACCUCUUUUAGCAGGGAAGAAGCGAAAGUGACGGUACCUGCAGAAAAAGCGCCGGCUAACUACGUG